GACGAACGCUGGCGGCGUGCUUAAUACAUGCAAGUCGAACGGAAAGGCCCUGCUUUUGUGGGGCGCUCGAGUGGCGAACGGGGGAGUAACACGUGAGUAACCUGCCCUUGACUUUGGGAUAACUUCAGGAAACUGGGGCUAAUACCGGAUAGGAGCUCCUGCUGCACGGUGGGGGUUGGAAAGUUUCGGCGGUUCGGGAUGGACUCGCGGCUUAUCAGCUUGUUGGUGGGGUAGUGGCUUACCAAGGCUUUGACGGGUAGCCGGCCUGGGAGGGUGACCGGCCACAUUGGGACUGAGAUACGGCCCAGACUCCUACGGGAGGCAGCAGUGGGGAAUAUUGCACAAUGGGCGGAAGCCUGAUGCAGCAACGCCGCGUGCGUGAUGACGGCCUUCGGGUUGUAAACCGCUUUCGCCUGUGACGAAGCGUGAGUGACGGUAAUGGGUAAAGAAGCACCGGCUAACUACGUG
rnacentral:rRNA from 1 species